AGGCCCCUGCACUCCGAGGGGCCCGCGCUGCGCCCCUGGCCCAACCCUCCCCUGUGAAAACCCUGCCGCGCGGCUGCCCCCGUGUUCUACAUUAGGACACAGAGAGGCCAUCUGACGCGUCGGGGGUGGCACAGCUAAGGCAGGGCAGGACCAGAAACCCAGGGCGGCCGGUGGGGACCUCCACGCAUCCCGGGGUCUCUCUCGGGAUCUCCAGCAUCCUCACUGUAGCCUCCUCUCCAAAUAGGGAAACCGAGGCACAGGGCAGUGCUAGGGUAUACUGCGUGUGGGUGGCCGGGUCUGUCAGGGGUAGGCAGGAGGCUAAGGCUGGGAGGCCAGCCCUUUGACAGAUGAUCACAGCGGGAAAGCCUUGGGGGGGGGGCAGAGGUGCCAGCCUGCCUCGAGGUGGGGGUGGGGGCACUGCUAGUGACUCUCUCCUGGGGAUGGGUGACAGCUGCAGAGGCCCCACACGCUAAUAACUUUCACUCAUUGCCUGAAGUCUAAUCCCAUUACUCUGCCGGACCCUCUGGGACCACCCUCCCUAGCCCUCCUUAAUCCCCUGCCUCCCUCUGGGAAUGGUCCAAGGCCCUACCCACUGGCCCCAGCCAGCCCCAGAUACAUGCAGACCUCACCCCCUCAGGUCCCAUCAGACCCCCUGCAUCCACCCACACCUGAUUCAUGGGGCCCCAGAGGGACAGCCAGCCAGGAGGGCUGGAGGCCCAGCCUUCUGGACCUGCCUCUCCUUUUGCCACCAGCCCUGUGGGCCAAUCCCCAAGGCACCUUCCCAAAAUAGCCUCCAGCUGGACUCCAGGUUUUAUGAGCCUCCUGUCCCUUUCUAAGCAGGCUUCUGUUUUAGUUUCUGUUGCAGGAAUUGUCAGAAGAGGGAUUAUGUCCUCAGUAUUUACAUCUGUAAAGUGGAGACAAUGGCACCCACUUCGUGUGUGGUUGUUCUGCUGCUACAAUGAGAUGCUAUCUAGCAAGUGUCGAGAGCAGCACCUGGCACCAGGGGAACACAUGGAGGUUGCCAGUGGCCAAUGUAAUUAUUAUUGGACGGACAGGUCAGAUAUGCAAAGGAAGUAGAUUUACUCUGUGUUUCCAGAAGGAAGCCUCAUGGCCCCAGGGCAAAUGUUAGUGGGAGGCGCAUUGGACUUACAGUGUCCUCACACUGGUGAUAGGAGCCACUAGGUCUGCCAGGUACCCGGCUUUUCCUCUGCUACUUUCCAUGUUCCAUGGGGAACCAACCAUAAGAACUCAGAGGUUCUGAAGCCUCAAUAUCCCCUUGAAACAGACUGGAAACUAGGAUGAAGAAGAUGGCUACACAGGGUACCUGGGUGGCACAGUUGGUCAAGCAGUGGACUCUUCAUUUUGGCUCAGGUCAUGGUUUCGUGGUUGUGAGAUAAAGCCCCAGGCUCUACACUUCGCUCAAUGAGUCUGCUUCAGAUUCUCUCCCUCUCUGUCAUAAAUAAAUAAAUAAAUAGAUAGAUAGAUUAAAUAAAUAAAUAAAAUAUUUUUUUAAAAAAAGAGAGAUACAGCUACACAGUGGUGGAGCUGUUAUCAAACAAAGCUCUGACUCUGGAAUUCUCCAGGAUGUUUUACUGCUUCUCAGGAUCCACUUCUAAUGAGGAGGGCUGGUGGAUCUGAGAAUUGCCCCCCAAAAAGUAGUGGGCUCCCCACUUGUCAGAAGCAUUCAAAGUGAUGCUGAUGGGCAAUCUAACCAGUUACGACAAUCUAACCUGUCAUGAGGUCCCAUGACAAGCCCCAAUUUCCUUGGCACCCCACUCACCCAUUUCCAGGCAGGGCCAGCUCACUGUCCCCUCCCCAGCUUUGGUUCAGGAGGGGCCCCCUUUGGCCCUCAGCCUCCCUCUCUCCUACCUUCUGCUGUUCCUCAUUUACAUAAAUUAUCUCUCCCCAAUUAUCCAUCCAGCUGUCCCAACGGUGAUCUGUGAAUGAAUUAAAAACGGAAUAUAAUUUAAUAAUGGCUGAUUAGAAGGAGAUUAGUUGUUAUAUAAAAAGGAAAAGCCAAGAGCCAGCUAGUUGCCCUUAAUCUGAGCCAAUACCAUCGUUAUUCAGGGAAGACAACUCUGGCCACCAUCAGGCUAGGCAGGCAUGAGGAGGGGCACGGGUUAGAAGAGAGCCCAGGGGGCCAGACCACCCCAGAGAGGAGGUCAGGGUGCUGGGAACCUGAGUUUGAGGACCAUCUCAGCUGUGGGGCCUAGGCAGCUCCUGUUACUUCCCCAGGCCUCACUCCUUCCUUCUAAGUGGGCUUGGAUGGUUUAUGGGCUCCCUUCUUGCUCUAAAUCCUAGGUGCUGGGCAGCCCGGGUGGCUCAGCAGUUUAGCGCUGACUUCAGCCCAGGGCCUGAUCCUGGAGACCCGGGAUUGAGUCCCACAUCGGGCUCCCUGCGUGGAGCCUACUUCUCCCACUGCCUGUGUCUCUGCUGCUCUCUCUCUCUCUCUCUCUCUCUCUGUGUGUCUCUCAUUAAUAAAUAAAUAUUUUAAUAAAUAAAUCCUAGGUGCCCUCAAAUCAAACCACUGGGCUUUCCCAAAGCCACAGUGACAGCUCCUGCCUGACCCCUGCUAGGCAUAAUACCUGGGCAUUCAGGAGUCUGAUGUUCAGGCCUCACCUCCCAGGAACACACAAGAGUCAAGGAUGUAGACCUCCCCAGGAGGGGGGUCUGCCUUCCUGGGGUAGGCAGUCAGAGGAGAGACCGGGGUUGGCUGCACCAGGAAGGCUCCGUGGAGGAGAAUCUGGCCGGGAGAAAGAGGGGUGAGUGCCCAGCAGAGACUCUGGCCCCCUUAACUUCAGCUGAAAGACUAGAUCUACUGGUGGGGACAUUUCUCUGAGAUUCCCAUUCAUCCUUUCAUUCUCAGCUCACAUUCAUCUCCUCCAGGAAGCCUUCCCUGAUCUCCCCAGCUUUGGGGUCUCCCCAGUGCUUCCAUAAUGCCCUGUGCUUUCUCAGUACAGUUAGCACAUCCACUUACAGGCAUUUGUCUCCCAGCUUGUGAGCUCCUGGAGAACAGAGACCAUGACUUUUUCAUCUCUUCAUCAUCAGUGCCAGCUGUGGGUUCUGUGAGGACAAGGACAGGACUUUUCAGCUCUGUGUCGCCAGUCGUGGAUGGACAGACGGGCCCACGUGUCGCCAGUCGUGGAUGGAUAGACGGGCCCACGGGCACACUGCUGCUAUCUCACACCAGAGGUGCCAAAGGGGCACACGGUGUGUAGGAAGGACCCAUAUGUCUCACCCAACAUUGACGGAGGCUUGGGGCCAGACCCUGGGUCCCCACUCUUCCUGAAGAAGCUCACAGCUUCCGGGGGGGUGACAUGCCCGUAAGGGGGGUCUGACCUCCACGGCUUGCAUCCGGGCACUGUGUCCAUGUGGCCAACAUCAGAGGCCGUCUGCUAGGAAGGAAGGAACCGGCCCGCUGCCCGGGAGGGAGGGCUGAGGAGCCCUCGGGCAGCAGCUGACUCAGGCCUCAGGGGCCAUCGCGGAGCCUCGGGCCAAGGGAACGAGGUCUGCCCUGCCCCGGGCUGGGAUGGAUGGAGUGGAUCCCAGAGGAGGCUGAGGAAACUCAAAACAUGAGGAGGUACCAAGUGUGUGUGCACUAAAGAAGUAUUAGCUGGGGAUCCCUGGGUGGCUCAGCAGUUUAGCGCCUGCCUUCAUUCGGCCCGGGGUGUGAUCCUGGAGACUCAGGAUGGAGUCCCACA